UGAAUCAUCGAAUCUUUGAACGCACCUUGCGCUUCCUUGGUAUUCCNAGGAGCAUGCCUGUUUGAGUGUCAUG
rnacentral:rRNA from 1 species